rnacentral:lncRNA from 1 species
AAUACUGACUGUGACUAGUCAUCAAAGGAGAACAACGAAGAACACAGAGAGGUAGACUGAAGAUGCAGUUGGAAGAGGAAACAAUGGAAUAAGAUUUUGGAGCAGACAAAUUCCUCCAUUCAUCUGAAAAGUUGUGCUGAGAAAUAUAGCUAUUGAAGAAUGAAAUGUGGGUUGCCUCACAUCUACAGAACUAUGACUCACUCAAGGAUCUGCUGAAGACAGGGAUGCUUCAUCUCCAUUGUCAGCUUGAUUGGAUCUGGAGUUACCAUGGAAACACGUCUCUGGACAUGUCUAUAAGGGUGCUUAACUAAAGAGAAAAGACCCUUCCUUAAUGUGAUUCGCACCAGGCAGGAGCUGGGGUUGCAGACUGGAUAAGAAGGAGAAAGAACACUAGCUUAGCUUUCUUUGCUUCCCAACACCAUGGAAACCAUAUGACCACUUUUGGGAACAAAAUCACAGGCAGAGAGGUAGAGUUCAUCCUAGCUCUGUUUCAUGUAUCCAUUUGUAGUUUUUUUUUUUAAAUGCCACCAACAGUAGCUACUUAUCUUCUCUUAGGAUGUUGAGCUCUGACUAAAUGCAGCUGAGUGAUUUCUGCUGUAUGUGAUGUCUUCAGACAAGUCCAGUGCCAGUGCGCUGUCAGGAGCCCAGCCUGUAUUCAUCCCAUGCUUGCUGCCUGACCAGGUACUGUCAAGUGGUCUCCUCCUUAGAGUACAUGCCGACCAUCUCUAAGCAGCUCUUCUGGAUUUGGGGCUGCAUAUUUGGAAUGAAUGUUUGGAAACGAAACUCGGCCUGCUCCUACACUGAUCUAGAAAAAAAGAAUAUGGAGUCAUUUAAUGCACAAAGAAUAUACAGUGUAGGGCAGACCUGGAGACAAAAAUUUUCUACAGACCAUGCCAGGAAGCAAUCAACGUGCGGGCUGUGUAAAAGGAGUACUACAGACUGGUCCCAAUCUGGGAGUAGUAUGGAGACGGUGAUUGGCAGGUCCUUGUAGUCUCAGCCUUCUCACUG